CCCCGCAAGGGGUAAGUAGAGUGGCAAACGGGUGAGUAACACGUGGGUGACCUGCCUUCGAGUGGGGGAUAACGUCCCGAAAGGGACGCUAAUACCGCAUGACAUCCUGCUUUUGGAAAAGCGGAGAUCAAAGCUGGGGAUCGCAAGACCUGGCGCUUGAGGAGGGGCCCGCGCCUGAUUAGCUAGUUGGUGGGGUAAUGGCCUACCAAGGCGACGAUCAGUAUCCGGCCUGAGAGGGCGGACGGACACACUGGGACUGAGACACGGCCCAGACUCCUACGGGAGGCAGCAGUGGGGAAUUGUUCGCAAUGGGCGCAAGCCUGACGACGCAACGCCGCGUGGAGGACGAAGAUCUUCGGGUCGUAAACUCCUGUCGAGUGGGAAGAAUGCUUCGGGGGCGAAUAUCCUCCGGAAUUGACGGUACCACUAAAGGAAGCCCCGGCUAACUCCGUGCCAGCAGCCGCGGUAAUACGGGGGGGGCAAGCGUUGUUCGGAAUUACUGGGCGUAAAGGGCUCGUAGGCGGCCAACUAAGUCAGACGUGAAAUCCCCAGGCUUAACCUGGGAACUGCGUCUGAUACUGGAUGGCUUGAAAUCGGGAGAGGGAUGCAGAAUUCCAGGUGUAGCGGUGAAAUGCGUAGAUAUCUGGAGGAAUACCGGUGGCGAAGGCGGCAUCCUGGACCGACAUUGACGCUGAGGAGCGAAAGCUAGGGGAGCAAACGGGAUUAGAUACCCCGGUAGUCCUAGCCCUAAACGAUGAAUG
rnacentral:rRNA from 1 species